ensembl:lncRNA
AAUUAAUCAAAUUGGUUUUAAUUAUUUUUUCCCAUUUGUUUUCCGUUAAAUAUUUCACGUAUCCUGAAUAUUGAAAACAUGUUUGUAGUAACGUGGUGGGUGCACCAGUGUUGUAUGUCAGUGUUGCACAGAGACGAGGUAGACCUGCCAAUCUAAGAUCAGGGGUUUUCCUUUUUGAAAGCUUCCCAGUGCAAUCAGUUUCUUGGCAUCUGCAGUGGGUAACGUGCACCUUUCUUCUACGGCUUUCCAGCUUCUCCUCCCCGCCUAGGUCCCCACCUGGCACUAAUAGUUAAGGUCCUUUAAGCUCAAAUAUGUUGGCUAGAUAAGCACAGCCCUUGCCCCCAAGUUCUAGCAAGCAACUCAAAUCAGAAAACUUUCUUUCCCCAUUUUUUUUCAACAGGAAAAUUAAAAUAAAUUAAGAAAUGAAAAGAAAAAAAAGUUGUCACCUUGGAGGAAUAAGAUGUGGGGUGGCCAUCUAAACUUGUCUCAGAGGAAGUGAUCCAUCCCAUGCUGGUUCGUAAUGUGAAGCAUCUGGAGUUGUCCAGAAAGUCAAAGGGUGAAAUCAAUAAAGUGUUCCUGCUGCUGAUGGCUGAUGAAAUUAAAUUUAAGCUACACAGAAGGCAGCAGUGACUGGGUUCUUCCCACACACCCCUGAAGGAAUAAAUGUUUCAUAAUAACAUCAAUGAGGCUAAGAUGUAUUUGGUUAGCUGCUGUUCUUCCGAAGUAAAACCAUACAGGAAAGGAAUUGGAGUGAAAACUGAGGGGAAUAAGUUUUUGAAUAUGCUUGCCCUGAAAAGAAGUAGUAACAAAGCUAAUCGUGGCUUUGAGUCCAGAAACAUGGAGGAGCAGAUCUGGUACUUGGCUGGGCUUCCCCUAACACUUCUACUAGAGUCCAGGUGCAGAAUCUGUUCCUUAGAGGAAAUCUCCAUGUCAGCGGACGGAGCCAGUACUGACAUGUGGGCGAGAUUUAGAGGGAAGGAACAAGGGCCAUCAUCCUCAGAGCUUUUAUUAAUGUCCAGGACUCGUCAGCUUACUCCAGGCACGCUCUCUGCAGACCGCGACAGCUGUGACCAGCUUCCCCUGUCCGCGAAGGCAUGGCUGCAGCCACGGGGCACCGUUCAGUUCUGCGCUUAGGUGGCCCUGUCAAAAUGAGGUGACUUAAAUGAGAGAAAGGCUCCUUCCUCCCCACCCAGGGCUGGCACUCAGCAGUGAGGUACAUGGAUCCCCCUCUGUAGCUAGUAGGUGAAAUGUUCCCUUAUGGGAAAAUGACAGGCAAUGGGAGGAAGAGAUUUCUUCUUGUGUAGCAUGUCCUGUGAGUCACUAGUAACUCCAUGGUCACACUCAUCUCUUGCCAAGGUGAGGUCUGUCCCCUCUUACUUACUCGGGAUGAGUAUGAUCUCUUGAGGCUGUUUCGGCAUUUGUAAUGGCGGGAUGCUAAGUCUGCACGCUUCACUUACCGAACGGAAGCACUGAGCUACAUGAGGGGACUGUGGGAUUGUCAGUCCAGUCCUCAACUGUUCCUCUCAGAAAGCAGUUUUCAGAGAGGUAUUUCAGUGACACUUCAACAUCAACUUUAACAUUUUCAACUUUGUUUUAUAAAUGAAGGUCUAAAUAUAGAUGAAGGAGCAGCUGUGCUUGUACGAGUUGCCUGUUUCACAACUACUAGCAUUAGCAGAGGCAUCAGUGAAGACAUAUCAUUAAGUAGAGACAUCUGCUUUCACGUUCUCAUACCACAGCCACCUACACCAGUCAUUUUUGCUUCCAUGCUGUGCACUACCC